rnacentral:rRNA from 1 species
GAUGAACGCUGGCGGCGUGCCUAAUACAUGCAAGUCGAGCGAACAGAUGAGGAGCUUGCUCCUCUGACGUUAGCGGCGGACGGGUGAGUAACACGUGGAUAACCUACCUAUAAGACUGGGAUAACUUCGGGAAACCGGAGCUAAUACCGGAUAAUAUAUUGAACCGCAUGGUUCAAUAGUGAAAGACGGUUUUGCUGUCACUUAUAGAUGGAUCCGCGCCGCAUUAGCUAGUUGGUAAGGUAACGGCUUACCAAGGCAACGAUGCGUAGCCGACCGGGGAGGGUGAUCGGCCACACUGGAACUGAGACACGGUCCAGACUCCUACGGGAGGCAGCAGUAGGGAAUCUUCCGCAAUGGGCGAAAGCCUGACGGAGCAACGCCGCGUGAGUGAUGAAGGUCUUCGGAUCGUAAAACUCUGUUAUUAGGGAAGAACAAAUGUGUAAGUAACUAUGCACGUCUUGACGGUACCUAAUCAGAAAGCCACGGCUAACUACGUG